GUGACCUAUGGGCUGAAGAUGGAUGCCCCAACAUUACAGAGGAACUUUGGGUGACUGUCCAGAUGAACACUGGAGAUACCUUACACCAAGUAACAGAAGGAGCUGGUAAGGCUAUACUAAUACAAGCUGAAGUACAAAGGAAACCAAAGACUGGUCUUUGAAGAGUCUGUCUGGUGAAAAAAGUUCUACUACAUCUCAGGUUGAAAACCCUCUUCUUUUCAAACACAACUGCUAACCUUCAAAUUUGAGUUCCUUUCAGUCAUGUUCAACAAUGAAUGGAGAUGAGAAAUACAAAAUGAUGAAAGACACUAAGAAGAGUAUGUGCAUCAAGGUCAGACUGUAGUAGGUCUAGAACAUUUAAGACGGAAAUUAUUUAAUUAAAAAUACCAAACUCUU